GAGUUGUCUCAUUGGCACUCAUACCACAUCUUCCUAUAUCUUACAACUUACAACUCCCGUUAGCGCCAUGUGUCUAUAUCUAUGUAUUUAGAAUUAUUUUUUUUGUAUGGGGAUAAUGUUCCUUGUUUCCCGUACGUACAUAUUAAAUUCGAGCAUUUCUUAAUAUGACAAAAAGGAAAAUAUAUGGCCAGGGAUAUCUGAUGAGGAUCUCAAUUAAGAACUACAUGUAGGUCUUAACUACCAGUUAACAUUUUAUAUAAUAAAGUACACAGACUCAGAUCUGUGAUUAUUUUCAAAGCAGAACCAAAUAAAUUGUACAAUGAAAGUUCAAACCAUGUACUGGGUUCCGAAGCUGCACAAAAAUCAUUACAAACAAAGAUUUAUUUCGUCUUUAAGCCAUUUUUCCACUACUAAACUAUGUAUUCUACUUACUAGUACACUUGGUACACUCAAAAACCUGAUAAUAAGUUGUUCAAAUAAGGCCUUUGAAAAUAGUGGAAUAAUUGGAGUGUCAAAAUUAUUUUGAAGUACUUGAUAAAUUGCAUGCUUAUAAUUUGUGCUUUUGAUUUUUCUACCCUAUAUACCACUGUGUCUCGUAGUCUUAUUAAGAAAAAAAUCACACACCUUAUGCAUUGAACGUGCAUUUAAAAAAGAAUCAGAAUGCAAAUAUAUAUAUAUUCAAACUCUUUCAGGUCAUUUUUUAGUAAUAACAAACAAAAGAACUAUGUCAAUUGGACCUGCUUUGAUACCAUAACUGCCCUUAAAAUUUUACUAGAUAUCAUUUUUGUCUGCUAUGGAGUUUACGUAUAUUGUCAAGCUAUCAGAAUUCCAACUUGGGGAAUAACUGUGCACCACUUAUUGCGGACCUGUUUCUGUAUUGUAGUGAGUUACAAUUAAUGAAAAAAUUCAGCAACGGAAGGGAUUGUGCUUGAUUUUCAUAUGAUGGAGACAUAAUCUUUCAAUCAGUCCUGGACCUGACUUAUUUUAAUAUUUCAUUUACUGUUAUCUGUUUUUGUCCAUUUUAAUUCCUUGUUAUCUGUUAUAAGCCAAAUCAAUUUGCUGUUAUGCUGUUAUUGGGACCCCCCUUGCCCCCCUCU
rnacentral:lncRNA from 1 species